GUAUAAACACAGAGAAAUAACUGAAUUCAAAGAAUUAAAAAAGUGACAUAUGGAUAAAUAGAGCGCAUGACUUUCAAAGUUGGCCAAAAUUUCCAAAUAAAGUCAAAAAUAUAAAGUAAAACGAUGAGAGAUGAAAACAUUAAAAGAAUUUCUCGAAAAGUGUAAUAAAAAACACAAAUAAGAAUUCUUUACCUUUUGGAACGGCUUCUAGAGAAUUGCCAAGGAAGCGUAUGUGAGUGCUUCGACUCUGAAUGUUCAUCACUAGACUUGUGAGUAUCCCUUAAUGGUGAAUCUUUAGGGGAGUUGCUUUGGGAUGAUCCAAAAAAUUUACUUCUUUUUCGUGUAAGGGAAGGGAAAAACGAACGACUUUCGCGACGUACGGCUUUUGGAGAAGCAUCAACAGAUCUUGAAUGAAAUCUUUCUGCAUCCAGUGAUGGUUCACGAUCAAAAUAAGAACGGCUAUUGAUGUCUCUAUCUAAAGUUUUAUGAGAAUACUGCGAAGAAAAUGAAGCAACCAUCGGAUCCAUAUCAGGAUAUGUUAUUGUCGAGUUUGAUCUAGGGGUACUUGAUAGAUUCGAAACUUCCACGCUUUCUUGUUUAAGUUGACUUGGAAUAGACAUCGGCUUAAUUGAUUCCUUGGUGUCUACUUCACUAACAUCAUCAUCUUCUUCAUCAGCAGCAGUAUAAAAUAGAACAUAGGCAGUAGCCUGACCAGGUUGAUCACCAAAAAAUCGUUGUAGGUAAUUCUCGUUGACAGGAGUUACGUUCUCGUCAUCAAAAAGGACCCAGCCAUAAGUUUUAGUGCGAACGA